ACACAGGAAAGGAGGUGGUCCGACAAAUUGCUAGCUGCGUGGACAUGUGAGGUGGCUGCGCGUUAAGCCGCGCGAAGCGAGGAUUCAGCAGCGCGCGCUGGCGAAUUCCCCGCAGUCACCCGGCCCCCGAGCCUCCCGGUCCGUCCAACCUGGAACAUCGGCUCGGGGGCUGUCCAUG
rnacentral:sRNA from 1 species